AAAAGAGAGUUUUGAAAAUCUCUAACAGAAAGCAUAGCUGUGCAUUAAACGAAAGGACAGGAGUUGGCGUCAAAGGGAAAACCGUACAGGUCCCACAGCCACAGGCCAACUGACCACAGGCUGAAAGCGGCACACUGUGAGGCAAGAUGAUCUUUUCCCCAUUGGAAGUUGAUUAUGCCAGGCGUUUUUGGCAUAGCAACCAAACACUAACGCUACAGCUCUGCACACACCUUUGUGUGACCCCCCAGAGUCUCUCUGCUUCUGUGAAACAUCCUUCAAGACCAGUGGGAAGGCAGGCUGUGGGUCAGAAACGCUGAGCUGAGUUCCUGGCUUCGCUCCCUGACUUUGGGUGUUUUCUGGCUUCCCUUAGUGAAGGGGAUGUCUGCUGUACAGUGGAGGGAUCCUGCUUCCGUGCUUCCCAUUGAACAGGCUCCUGAGAGAUGUGGAGACCCCCCCCCCCACUACUACUGGGGGGCCAGUGGAAGAGGCAGUGCUGGCCAGGUGACCUUAAGAAAUGCCCUUGUCUCGGAACCAAAGGAGCACGAGGCCUUUCGCCUGAAUAUUGGGAGACUGCAUGAGCCUUUCCCAACUGCUGGAGAGACAAAAGGACAGCAUGGCCUAGAGCCUGGCCCAGUGGCUGGCACAGGAGAGGCACUGGAUGUGUGCCAACACAUUUCUUCUUUCCCGGAAGGUGACUGAGGUCCGCUGAUACCAAGGGAUAGGAGGUGCUGGUGACCGAGAUGCAAGGGCUUUUGACAAGAGCUAAGUACAUGUUGGGAGAGGGAGACUCAGUCUCAAGGACAAGGGUGGGUAUCAGUUAUCGUCAUGAAGGACCAGACCAGUGCUGGACCACUGAGACCACCGACUCAGUGCUGAGUCCUGGAGAAACUGGCUUUGAGGCUGUCCAAAAUAAAAUCCAGAAGCCGGGCAGUGGUGGCACACGCCUUUAAUCCUGGCACUCGGGAGGCAGAGGCAGGCGGAUCACUGUGAGUUUGAGGCCAGCCUGGGCUACAGAGUGAGUUCCAGAAAAGGCCCCAAAGCUACACAGAGAAACCCUGUCUCAAAAAAACCAAAAACCAAACCAAACCAAACCAAAGCAAGACAAAAUAAACUCCAGAAGCUGUGUGAGGGACUAAAUAGCCAAGAUGCAUGGAGAGAAGAGAUGCCUUGCUAUGGAGCUGGGCUGACUCCACUCCCAGGAUGCUGCACAGCUGAAGGGCCAUCCUGGAACUCUCUCUGUAGACCAGGUUGGCCUCAAACUCAGAGAUCCACCUGCCUCUGCCUCCUAAGUGUUGGAACUAAAGGUGAGCGCCACCAUGCCCAGCCUACAAAAGCACAACUCUUACCUCAAAGGGAAUAAGAGAAGAAUUUAUUCUGAAGCCAAAUAUGAGUGGCCACCUCCCAGAAAGACAGAUUUAAGUUAUCCCAAAUGCCACAUUUCAAUAUGGCAACAGCAGUUUCAUGAGGCUUUUAUAAUUAGAGAAUGUAAGUCAUAAAUCGAGGUAUUUAUUUUUCAAGUGCUUUUGUGGAAACACCACACAGAUAGGUAAUUGCAAUGUAGGACAAUCUGCAACAUUCCAACACUCCGAAAUCAUGACCUUUGGAGACAGCCUUGUAGAAUUUUUAGCACAGGUGAGGCUUUUCUCCGGGGAACUUCAUUUCACAUGGGAGACUAUAACUCCAUUGCAAGCGCCUGGUGAGGGGUUCAGCUCUGCCCUGCCAGACACACCUCAGGCUGCUACAUUCUGCGUCAUCUAGUUGAGGUCUGUCUUCUAACACAUCGAUCAGCCGUUGCCUGUAAAAACCUUCACAUGAGAGUUAACCUGAGUGUUCCCUGACAACCCACACGAUAAAGGCAGAGCUGGCCAAGGGAGAGGCUCUGUAAGGGCUAAAGUUGACCUCUAAGCCCCACUUGCCUAAGGACAGACACCUCUGGAGAUGCAGGAGGCUGUAGUUCAUGUAGCAAGCCACACGGUUCCCGAAACAAGUUUGGUUGAUCCAGCUGCACUGGAUGUGUUACAGGCGGGAGAUAGGAAGGUAGGAAGUACGUCAGGACGCAUGCUUGCCCCCGAUUGGACAAAAGUGGGAAGUACUGUAGACUUGUGUGUGUGGGGUACCUUUAUGAGCUCCUGACCGACCUAAACUGGGGCCCUUUUCUGGGAACUCCGGGUAUGGACACCUGGGCAGUGCC